AAAAUGUACAUGUAUAUGACAUAUCAUGUUUAUAUUUUAAACAUCAUGAACAUUGACAAAAAAAAGCAAAUACAUAUAUGCUAAACAAUGCUAAAUGAUGGUCAGAAAAAUAAAAUUUAGAACAGAUGAAAAAUGUAUCACAGAAACCAUGGAAAAGUUUUCAAUACACACACUUUAAUAACAGAAAUUAUAUGUACUUCUUAUUUCUAAAACAAAAGUCUGAAGUACAAUGUACUUUACAAUGUACAUGUACAUGUCCAGUGCUGUCCUAUUGCACAUUUAUUCCUUCCAUCUGGUUGCACUUUUGAAAUUCCAUCCACCAAUCACAUAUUAGGGAAUGCCUUAAUGUUAGUUAAAAUUCCAAUAAUUUCAGCUAAUGUUUGUGAUAUGGUUUGUAGUCAAUGACAAUGUCAAUGAUCUAGUUCUCCGAUUUAUGAAGUCAAGUCAAUGAUGAUGAAAAAGAAACGCACAUAUUUAAAUAAUUCAAAGCAUGAACUCGCAUUGGUCAUGACGGCGUUCGUGCUACAUGUACAAGGUUCAUGAAAACAUCAAAAAUGGCUUUUGACAGUAACAUCCAGAAAGGAAUCAUUACGUAUUUGAGGUCGAUCUGUGGAUAGUAUUGAAGUCUCAUACACAAUAACACUUGAAAUGAAAGUUUUAACAACACUGCCAUCAUGUAAAGAACUUUCUUUGAAACAGAAAUGUUUAAAUCGGAUCGGUGAUCAAAUCCAUUUUUACAAUGCACUAUAAUUUUGAAUGUUAUGUAGAUAAUUACAACAGCAUCAAAAACCCACAUGGGUAUGAACACUAAGAACCAGUUCCAACUGACUUUUUUAUCAAGGCGAAGUACCAUUAAAAUAAGGAACACAAGCACAAUAAACCAUGUAAACAGUGCUCUUUGAAUGAUCGCCAUCGAAUUUUUACUUCCUCAAUGUCAAUAUUGUGCUUCAAAGUUAUUAAC
rnacentral:lncRNA from 1 species